rnacentral:rRNA from 1 species
AGCGAACGCUGGCGGCAGGCCUAACACAUGCAAGUCGAACGAACUCUUCGGAGUUAGUGGCGGACGGGUGAGUAACACGUGGGAACGUGCCUUUUGGUUCGGAAUAACUCAGGGAAACUUGUGCUAAUACCGAAUGUGUCCUUCGGGGGAAAGAUUUAUCGCCAUUAGAGCGGCCCGCGUCUGAUUAGCUAGUUGGUGAGGUAACGGCUCACCAAGGCGACGAUCAGUAGCUGGUCUGAGAGGAUGACCAGCCACACUGGGACUGAGACACGGCCCAGACUCCUACGGGAGGCAGCAGUGGGGAAUCUUGCGCAAUGGGCGAAAGCCUGACGCAGCCAUGCCGCGUGAAUGAUGAAGGUCUUAGGAUUGUAAAAUUCUUUCACCGGGGACGAUAAUGACGGUACCCGGAGAAGAAGCCCCGGCUAACUUCGUG